rnacentral:rRNA from 1 species
GGCUCAGGACGAACGCUGGCGGCGCGCUUAACACAUGCAAGUCGAACGGUGAACGGGGCUUCGGCCCCGGGAUCAGUGGCGAACGGGUGCGUACCACGUGGGCAACCUGCCCCAGACUCUGGGAUAACUCCGGGAAACCGGGGCUAAUACCGGAUACUCCGACCGAUCCGCAUGCUUCGGUCGGGAAAGCUCCGGCGGUCUGGGAUGGGCCCGCGGCCUAUCAGCUCGUUGGUGGGGUAACGGCCCACCAAGGCUUCGACGGGUAGCUGGUCUGAGAGGACGACCAGCCACACUGGGACUGAGAUACGGCCCAGACUCCUACGGGAGGCAGCAGUGGGGAAUCUUGCGCAAUGGGCGAAAGCCUGACGCAGCGACGCCGCGUGGGGGACGAAGGCCCUCGGGUUGUAAACCCCUUUCGGCAGGGACGAAGCGAUCGUGACGGUACCUGCAGAAGAAGCUCCGGCUAACUACGUGCCAGCAGCCGCGGUAAGACGUAGGGAGCGAGCGUUGUCCGGAUUCAUUGGGCGUAAAGAGCGCGCAGGCGGUUCGGAAAGUCGGAUGUGAAAACUCGGAGCUCAACUCCGAGCGUGCAUCCGAUACUCCCGGACUAGAGGUAGGUAGGGGAGAUCGGAAUUCCUGGUGUAGCGGUGAAAUGCGCAGAUAUCAGGAGGAACACCGGUGGCGAAGGCGGAUCUCUGGGCCUUACCUGACGCUCAGGCGCGAAAGCUAGGGGAGCGAACAGGAUUAGAUACCCUGGUAGUCCUAGCCGUAAACGUUGGGUGCUAGGUGUGGGCGGACAUCGACCCCGUCCGUGCCGAAGCUAACGCAUUAAGCACCCCGCCUGGGGGAGUACGGCCGCAAG